rnacentral:rRNA from 1 species
GAUCCUGGCUCAGGAUGAACGCUGGCGGCGUGCUUAACACAUGCAAGUCGAGCGGAGAAUUAUCAGGUGCUUGCACCUGAUAAACUAGCGGCGGACGGGUGAGUAACGCGUGGGUAACCUGCCUUAUACAGGGGGAUAACAUAUGGAAACGUAUGCUAAUACCGCAUAAGCGCACAGCAUCGCAUGAUGCAGUGUGAAAAACUCCGGUGGUAUAAGAUGGACCCGCGUCUGAUUAGCUAGUAGGUGAGGUAGAGGCUCACCUAGGCAACGAUCAGUAGCCGGCCUGAGAGGGUGAACGGCCACAUUGGGACUGAGACACGGCCCAAACUCCUACGGGAGGCAGCAGUGGGGAAUAUUGCACAAUGGGGGAAACCCUGAUGCAGCAACGCCGCGUGGAGGAUGACGCAUUUCGGUGUGUAAACUCCUUUUAUAAGGGAAGAUAAUGACGGUACCUUAUGAAUAAGCACCGGCUAACUCCGUGCCAGCCGCGGC